AGCGAACGCUGGCGGCAGGCCUAACACAUGCAAGUCGAACGGAUCCUUCGGGAUUAGUGGCGGACGGGUGAGUAACACGUGGGAACGUGCCCUUUGGUUCGGAACAACUCAGGGAAACUUGAGCUAAUACCGGAUGUGCCCUUCGGGGGAAAGAUUUAUCGCCAUUGGAGCGGCCCGCGUCUGAUUAGCUAGUUGGUGAGGUAACGGCCCACCAAGGCGACGAUCAGUAGCGGGUCUGAGAGGAUGAUCAGCCUCACUGGGACUGAGACACGGCCCAGACUCCUACGGGAGGCAGCAGUGGGGAAUCUUGCGCAAUGGGCGAAAGCCUGACGCAGCCAUGCCGCGUGAAUGAUGAAGGUCUGAGGAUUGUAAAAUUCUUUCAGCGGGGACGAUAAUGACGGUACCCGCAGAAGAAGCUCCGGCUAACUUCGUG
rnacentral:rRNA from 1 species